GACCAUAGCAAGAAAUGACUUAAGCAUAGAAAAAGCAUUACUUUUGGAUCCCAAUAGGUGUGUCCAGGUUGCCCUAGAAAAAUCAUCAACAAUUGUAAGGAAAUAUUUGCAUCCAGAUGAGGUAGGAGUAUGAUAAGGUCCCCAAGUGUCCACAUGAAUCAGUUGAAAAGGCCUAGAGGUUCUAAUGGAGCUAUCAGGGAAAGGAAGCCUAGUCUGUCUGGGUGUCCACAUGAAUCAGUUGAAAAGGCCUAGAGGUUCUAAUGGAGCCAUCAGGGAAAGGAAGCCUAGUCUGUCUGGCCAUGGGACAGAUAGUACAGGGAAAAGGUUCUUUGGAAGCAAAAGGAAAAGACAGACCAGAAAUACAUUUCAUGUUUGCAAAAGGAAUAUGUGCAAGUCUUAAGUGCCAAAUGUAAUUCAUAUCAUAUGUAAGAUCAUUAUUACAAGUGGAACCAUUUACAUGAGAAUGUAAAGAAACACCCUUGUUAUCAGAUAAGAUAUCAUCAUUACAAGAAGAC
rnacentral:lncRNA from 1 species